UGGAUCCAGACUUUGAUUCUGGCUCAGGAUGAACGCUAGCUACAGGCUUAACACAUGCAAGUCGAGGGGAAACGACAUCGAAAGCUUGCUUUUGAUGGGCGUCGACCGGCGCACGGGUGAGUAACGCGUAUCCAACCUGCCCAUCACUUGGGGAUAACCUUGCGAAAGUAAGACUAAUACCCAAUGACGUCUCUAGAAGACAUCUGAAAGAGAUUAAAGAUUUAUCGGUGAUGGAUGGGGAUGCGUCUGAUUAGCUUGUUGGCGGGGUAACGGCCCACCAAGGCAACGAUCAGUAGGGGUUCUGAGAGGAAGGUCCCCCACAUUGGAACUGAGACACGGUCCAAACUCCUACGGGAGGCAGCAGUGAGGAAUAUUGGUCAAUGGGCGAGAGCCUGAACCAGCCAAGUAGCGUGCAGGAUGACGGCCCUAUGGGUUGUAAACUGCUUUUAUAAGGGAAUAAAGUGAGUCUCGUGAGACUUUUUGCAUGUACCUUAUGAACAAGGACCGGCUAAUUCCGUGCCAGCAGCCGCGGUAAUACGGAAGGUCCGGGCGUUAUCCGGAUUUAUUGGGUUUAAAGGGAGCGUAGGCCGGAGAUUAAGCGUGUUGUGAAAUGUAGACGCUCAACGUCUGCACUGCAGCGCGAACUGGUUUCCUUGAGUACGCACAAAGUGGGCGGAAUUCGUGGUGUAGCGGUGAAAUGCUUAGAUAUCACGAAGAACUCCGAUUGCGAAGGCAGCUCACUGGAGCGCAACUGACGCUGAAGCUCGAAAGUGCGGGUAUCGAACAGGAUUAGAUACCCUGGUAGUCCGCACGGUAAACGAUGGAUGCCCGCUGUUGGUCUGAAUAGGUCAGCGGCCAAGCGAAAGCAUUAAGCAUCCCACCUGGGGAGUACGCCGGCAACGGUGCAACUCAAAUGAAUUGACGGA
rnacentral:rRNA from 1 species